GUUUAGCACCUGUAGUCCCAGCUACUCGGGAGGCUGAGGCCGGAGGAUCGCUUGAGUCUAGGAGUUCUGGGCUGUUGUGCGCUAUGCUGAUUGGGUGUCCACUUUAAGUUCAGCAUCAAUAUGGUGACCAUCCGGGAGCGGGGGACCGCCAGGUUGCCUAAGGAGGGGUGAACCGACCCAGGUCGGAAACGGAGCAGGUCAAAACUCCCGUGCUGAUCAGCAAUUCUGUUACUUAAGUCAAAGAAAAUCCCAAAUGGCUUUAAAAUAAGGAUUACAGAAAUCAGGCAUCAG
ensembl:misc_RNA Metazoa_SRP Metazoan signal recognition particle RNA